rnacentral:rRNA from 1 species
GGGGGCCGCACACGCGGUGGAGCAUGUGGUUUAAUUCGAUGCAACGCGAAGAACCUUACCUACUCUUGACAUCCAGAGAACUUAGCAGAGAUGCUUUGGUGCUUCGGGAACUCUGAGACAGGUGCUGCAUGGCUGUCGUCAGCUCGUGUUGUGAAAUGUUGGGUUAAGUCCCGCAACGAGCGCAACCCUUAUCCUUUGUUGCCAGCGAUUCGGUCGGGAACUCAAAGGAGACUGCCGGUGAUAAACCGGAGGAAGGUGGGGAUGACGUCAAGUCAUCAUGGCCCUUACGAGUAGGGCUACACACGUGCUACAAUGGCGCAUACAAAGAGAAGCGACCUCGCGAGAGCAAGCGGACCUCAUAAAGUGCGUCGUAGUCCGGAUCGGAGUCUGCAACUCGAUCCGUGAAGUCGGAAUCGCUAGUAAUCGUGGAUCAGAAUGCCACGGUGAAUACGUUCCCGGGCCUUGUACACACCGCCCGUCACACCAUGGGAGUGGGUUGCAAAAGAAGUAGUGUAGCUUAAUCUUCGGGUAGGGCUGC